rnacentral:tRNA from 1 species
GCCGAUGUAGCUCAGUUGGCAGAGCACCACCAUGGUAAGGUGUAGGUCAGCGGUUCAAAUCCGCUCAUCGGCU